GCUAAAGGGUGGGAAUGUAAAUGUUAAAAAUGACCUGUGAGGAGUAUGAGAAAGGUUGCAAUGUUCAUUGUCUGUAAAUCCUUUUCCUGUUUCGGACGGCGUACUGAGAGACACCGUGUAAGAUACGUUAUACCAAGAUGAUGGUGAUGAUAGUGAUAUUGUUAGAAAACUCAUAGCUGAUUCAGUGAAUCCUUCGUCUUCUAACUGUUUCUGGAGAAACAAGAUUGAAGCUGAAAAGCUUUCCAAAGGCUGAGCAUCUAAGCUGUGAAGAUCAUGAGGACCAGCUGGACAGUCUGUGACUCCGCCCACUUCACAACCAUGAGGAAGGAGGUAGGCAGGACAAGAGCUCAUCUUUAACGGAAGCUUUGAGAAUUAAGUGCAUAGUUUACUUUAUUUUUUUCCAUGUUGUGUAUUAUGUUUUGUCUUUUACCUGCUUGCAAAGCAAAUGUCCCAUCUAGGACAAUAAAGGAAAUAAGUGGUGUCCAGUCUUGGUCCCAGCAGCGUGAGUGUCUCUGCAGGGGUGUCCAGUUCUGGUCCUGGUCCAGUCGGUGUGUCUGCAGCAGGGGUGUCCAGCCUUGGUCCUGGAGGGGUCAGUGUGUCUGUAGAUGAGGUCUCUUUAAAUCAGCAGCACCUGAAGAGCUGGGUAAAGGUGUUUGAUUUAACUGGAUCAAACAGUAACCUGGUUUAGCUCCAGUCUUUCUCUCUCUGUUGCUCUAUACUGUUUACAUGACAGAUCUAGAAGACCUGAAAGAGAUUACAUGUUGACCAGUGUGUUGAAAAUGUAGUCAUUACAUUAUUAAUACUUAUUUUUGCAAGUCCAGGAAUACAGAAUACAGAGAGAAUACAGAUUCUGGUUUAAUUUUUAUUUAAAAAGUUAUUACCCUUGCAUCAUAAUUUAAACUAUUUUUUCCUGACAACUCUGUGAAUAUUUCUAGAUAGGCAUAAUGGUCUGAAUAUCUGUUAAAUACAUAUUGCGUUUUAUAUAUAUAUACCUGUACAGAUACUCUGUCUCAAGCGUAUCACUGUAUCUUAUGUUUGUAUUGUCUCCAACUGUUCAUUCUUAUAAUUGCUAAUGUGAUGUAGAAUAUUGUUGUAAGUUGUUGUUUUGGAAAGAUGAUCUCUGUUGUAGUAAACUGUGUUGUUCUCUUUGAUCCCUCUGAUUUGCUCCUACACUGCUGUGGGUAUUUUCUCAGGGACGGCUUCUGAAGAAUCUGUACCCAGCCUCAGGAAUGGACAGUGACAUCAGUUGACUGCUCCUUCACUUGUUUUUUUCUAAUUAUUAAAAUAAUGUACCAUUUUUCUACAUAAUAAAGCACUAUUAAUCAGACUCAUA